AAUGUGAGAGUUUAUCGCCGC
rnacentral:misc_RNA from 1 species